rnacentral:tRNA from 1 species
GGCCGGGUAGCCAAACGGUAAGGCGACGCUCUGCAAAAGCGUUAUUCAUGGGUUCGACUCCCAUCCCGGCCU